GCGACGCUCAAUGGCGUUGUCGGCAGCUCAGAAGUUUAGGUUGUAGAUUCGCUCGACGCAAGAAGUAAGCAGAUCACAGUGAGUAGUUACCUUCGACACAGCUCUAAAAUUAGCCGACCUCGAUAGCAGGUUGUUUUGUGAGCGAAGUAAAGUGUUUUUUUCCGUCGUGUCACACAGCGUACGGUGAUAAGACAAACAUGGCGGCGUGGAGGGCGACUGCCCGACUACAUGUCAGUGUCAGGCUAAUUUUGGAGAAGUCGUGAGGAAAACGUUGUUUUCUGAAGAUGAAGGAAGUUUCAGUUAAAGAACAGAAAGACGGGGAAUAGAGAUGGAUUUCCUCGCCUAAAAAAGGCUCAACUGACAGAUUUUACAGGAGAGACUCCCUCCUGUAGAAGGAAACUCACUGUCAACUAUGUCCGGUCAUCCGCGGUCUGCUUCACGAAAG